CCCCGCUCUGCUCCACCGGGAGCCCGGGGACACCGAUUCUGCUCCUCCGGGGACACCCGCUCUGCUCCACCGGGACACCCUACUCCUGUGUACCCCGGGAACACCCCGCUCCCGUGCCCACCUCCGCCUUUCUCCUCCCGGGGACACCCCGGUCCUGUCCCCCCCUGCCAGGGGACACCCCGGUGGUGCUUCUCCCCCGGACCGUGCCGGGUUUUUUCAUUUUUUCAUUUCAGCAGCACCGCCGGGUGUGUGCCUGUGUGAGAUCAGAGCUUUCCCUGGGCAAAGCUCCCGCUGCCUUUGGGGUACCCCGGCAGCGCGGCUCCAUCUCUUUUCUACCGUGUUUUUUGGAUUUUUUUUUGGUUUUUUUUUCUUGGAGCCACGUUUGCGUGUGGAACGGGAGCUGGGGGAGGAGGACGAGCGGCUCCAUGUGCGUUCCAUGCCCUGCCACGCCGUGAUGCCCCGGGAGCCGCCGGGGUAAUUCCCGUCCCGCAUCCCGGAGCCGCCCCCCCGCUCCCCGAAGCGCUCCCGGGCGCUGGGGAGGAUUGACGGCUGCUGUGUGUUGGGGAUUAUUUCUGGUUAGACCCAAUUAGAUUAUCAUGUCUAAGAAAAGAAUAAGCCUAUUCAGUCAGGAACCCCCACUGACGAGCCAAAUGGCGAGUGAGAUGUUACGAUUAUUAGGCACAGUGGAAAAAAGCCCGGUGUCGCCUUGCUCUUGUCGGGGAAAGCCGAGGUCGUGUUGGCGAUGGGAGAUGCUCCCACAGGCGGUACAUGGCUCAGAAUCCAGUCUGGAUUCAUCUGGGACUGCCAGAAGGGCUCCUGGAUCCGUCUGCCUGCGUGGUUUGUGGGGAGAAAUCGGUGGCUUUGGGUCAGGGGAUGGUGAUGGAUGGGAUCUGUGAAAGGCAGAGACGUCAUUUGGGGCAGCCUUAGAAACGUGUAACGUAAAUACGGGAGAUAACAGCACCCAGCCUGUUUCCUGAGGUGCUUGGAAGGUUUUAGAGAUGGACUUCAGUUCAGGCUGGGAGGAUGAGUGCUGCAGCUUUGCUGGAGGGAGAGGCCGGCCAUGCAGGUGGGCAGUCCCUACAAAUGUGGUUUGGGAUGAUUUUCCCACCUUGGGGAGAAGGUUGCGAGAUGGGACUCAAAACAGCCCCAAAAAUCACCUUCAUGCUGUUCUUGCAGCCAGCCAGGCAUGACUGGUGUUGCUGCAGCUUCCAGGAAAUCUCUGACCGGUUCAUGAAAGAAUAAACUGCUGGGCUGUGAUUAUUUUGUUUUCUCUGUGGCUCUGAGGGAGAGAUGACUGUGCCACUGGUCAAAGCCCAGAAUGGGGUAGGCUGGAGAAGUGCAGGGAUUAACGAGAAAGGAAUGAUUAGGGAAAAAACCAUGAGGAAUAUUUUCUCUGGGGGGAGAGGAUUAAUCAGGAGAUGGGAGUAUGAAGAAGGAGAUGCUGAAGGUUAUAAGACUAAAUCUCACCUUCCUUAUGUGCUGUCUUAAGAAAUUAGCCUGGCACGGGCGUUGCUGGCACACUCAGCCCUGGUGAGGUCCUGAGGGCUGUGCUGACAAUCCCAAUUUCCAUAUCUCUGCUGAAAUUCCCAAGGCUGGACAUUGAUGAACACAGUGAGUGGCUGUGUUCAGGUUUCCCUCCUCACACUGGGAGGGUUGUGCCCACUCCUGUGUGGGAGAGGUGCCUUCUGUGUGUUUGGAAGUUUUGUUCUCUUCCAGAGCAGGGAGCCCUGGCCCUCCAAACCACCAGGAGAGCACAUUUGGCUGUGAUUUCACCCUGAGUGCCAUGACAACAACUGGUUUAUGUUUUCCACCUCAAAUACGCUGUCCUGAGCUGCUCCAGCAUCUCUGGAGUCCCUUCAGCGAGGGGAUGCUGUGCCUGGAGGUGAUGGAUCUGUGCCAGCUGCUGUUUGCUGGGCUCUCAGAGGAUUUUGUGUUGAGAAAGGGCUCUGCUUUGUCCACCUCCAACACACACACCUGGUCACCUCAAAAACACAUACCUGGUCACCUCAAACACACACUGUCACCUCCCUGCCUCCUGAUUCUAAAUAAAUUGCAGGACAUGAUGGGCACUGCUCCAGGUCACGUUUUUUUGGGUGAAGUUCUCCAAUCUGUGCUCCCUGUGCCCUUGGUGUUCCUGAGGUGUCCAGAGCCAGCAGAGGGACAGGGAUGCCACUGGCUGUGUCACUCCUGGUGGUCUGUUGGGCAGUAAUCAGGGUUUUCCCCGUGGCUCUGUGUGUCCCUGUGCUGUUUUUGGCACUGCUGUAGGAAAUGUGCCACCGUGGUUCGUGUGUUGAGCCUGUGCUGGUGGGGACUGGGCUCUGUGGGUGUGUUCCAGGAGGAUGCAUUUGUUGGGAUGUAUUCAAGGAGGAAAAUAUGCAGGACAGCCCAAGAGAGAUCCAAGUUUCAGUCUGUAAGCCGAGUGCUGUUCCUUCCAUCCUUCAAGCUGAUGGGAAUUCUCCCUUUUCCUGUGAAAUUAUUCCCUUUUUCUCAGGGUUGCAUGAGGAUGUGAACUCCAGGGAAGCAGUGGUGUGGUUUUGCCACCGAGUUCCCACUUUGGCUGUGCUGGGUCUCAGCUCUGUCUCUGUCUCUGAGCUUUGGGAACGUCCCAACCUUGUCCCUUCCCCAGUGCUCUCUUCCCCUCAGCUCUGUGGGAUCUUUCCCUACACACACAUGGGUGUAAAUCCUGAAUUCUGGUCACCACCCCAUGUCUGCUGAGGGCAGACCCAGUUCAGCAGCCCAGGGGUGCCAGAGGCAUCCACAGACAUGGUGGCACUGGAGCUGGGAGCUGUGGGAGCCUAUCCCAAAUUUCCAGCUCCUGCAGCAGGGUGGUCUCCCUGUGCACGUUUGCAGAUGCCACGUGUUUGGAGGAAGCAGCCAGGCCGGGCUUGGCAGGGGAAAUCGCUGCCUAAUGAGCUGUGAUUGACAUAAUUUGACUGCUGGAUUACAAAUCUGUGGAGCAUCUCCCUUCUGCUGGAAUUCCCAUCUUGCCCCUGGAUUUUGUCCCAGCGUCCUUUUCCAUCCCAGGGAAGGCAGCUUGAGUGUCUCCUGCUGAAGAAUUUGGAAGCUCAGUGUGAAAACUCUUAAUGUUUCCCAGCUGUUCCCCUUCCUCAUUGUCUAUCAGCUAUAUUAGGCAUUGUUUUAUAAAAUAUAUAUGUAUUUUAAACCAUA